CUACGGCGGGUGCAAGCGUUGUUCGGAAUUACUGGGCGUAAAGCGCGCGUAGGCGGUUUGUUAUGUCAGAUGUGAAAGUCCACGGCUCAACCGUGGAAGUGCAUUUGGAACUGGCAAACUUGAGUACUGGAGGGGGUGGUGGAAUUCCCGGUGUAGAGGUGAAAUUCGUAGAUAUCGGGAGGAAUACCGGUGGCGAAGGCGACCACCUGGCCAGAUACUGACGCUGAGGUGCGAAAGCGUGGGGAGCAAACAGGAUUAGAUACCCGAGUAGUCC
rnacentral:rRNA from 1 species